rnacentral:tRNA from 1 species
GCCCUGAUGUUGUAACGGCAGCCUGCAUGACUCGUCAUUCAAGCGGUGCCGGUUCAAUUCCGGCUCAGGGCU